AGUGAACGCUGGCGGUAUGCCUAACACAUGCAAGUCGAACGGCAGCACAGUAAGAUCGUGCUCUUACGGGUUGCGAGUGGCGGACGUGUGAGGAAUACAUCGUAAUCUACUUUUUCGUGGGGGUUAACGUAGGUGAGGUUACUCUAAUACAGCAUACGACCUACGGGGGAGAGCAUGGGAUCUUCGGACCUUGCGCGAUGGAAUGAGCCGAUGUCGGAUUGGCUAGUGGGCGGGGUAAUGGCCCACUAAGGCGACGAUCCGUAGCUGGGCUGGGAGGAGGAUAGGCGACAUUGGAACUGGGACACGGUCAAGACUACUAAGGGAGGGAGCAGUGGGGAAUAUUGGACAAUAGGCGCAAGCAUGAUACAGCCAUCCCGCGUGUGUGACAAAGGCCUUCGGUUUGUAAAGCCCUUUUGUUGGGAAAGAACCGCAGCAGGUUAAUACCAAGCUGUUGUGACGGUACCCAAAGAAUAAGCACCGGCUAACUUCGUG
rnacentral:rRNA from 1 species